GACGAACGCUGGCGGUGUGCUUAACACAUGCAAGUCGAACGGUAAGGCCCUUUCGGGGGUACACGAGUGGCGAACGGGUGAGUAACACGUGAGUAACCUGCCCUCAUCUCUGGGAUAACAGUCGGAAACGGUUGCUAAUACUGGAUAUGAGCCUGCAAGGCAUCUUGUGGGUUGGAAAGAUUUUUUGGUUGGGGAUGGACUCGCGGCCUAUCAGCUUGUUGGUGAGGUAGUGGCUCACCAAGGCUUCGACGGGUAGCCGGCCUGAGAGGGCGACCGGCCACAUUGGGACUGAGAUACGGCCCAAACUCCUACGGAAGGCAGCAGUGGGGAAUAUUGCACAAUGGACGGAAGUCUGAUGCAGCAACGCCGCGUGCGGGAUGACGGCCUUCGGGUUGUAAACCGCUUUCAAUUGUGACGAAGCUUUUUGUGACGGUAGCAGUAGAAGAAGCACCGGCUAACUACGUG
rnacentral:rRNA from 1 species